UGCCAGGCACAGGCUAAAGCUCAC
rnacentral:piRNA from 1 species